CCUACGGGUUGCAGCAGUGGGGAAUAUUGGACAAUGGGCGCAAGCCUGAUCCAGCAAUGCCGCGUGUGUGAAGAAGGCCUUCGGGUUGUAAAGCACUUUUAUCAGGAACGAAAUACCACGGGUUAAUACCCUAUGGGGCCGACGGUACCUGAGGAAUAAGCACCGGCUAACUCCGUGCCAGCAGCCGCGGUAAUACGAAGGGUGCAAGCGUUAAUCGGAAUUACUGGGCGUAAAGCGUGCGUAGGCGGUUUGUUAAGUCUGCUGUGAAAGCCCUGGGCUCAACCUGGGAAUGGCAGUGGAAACUGGCGAGCUAGAGUGUGAUAGAGGAUGGUGGAAUUCCCGGUGUAGCGGCGAAAUGCGUAGAGAUCGGGAGGAACAUCAGUGGCGAAGGCGGCCAUCUGGAUCGACACUGACGCUGAGGCACGAAAGCGUGGGGAGCAAACAGGAUUAGAUACCCGUGUAGUC
rnacentral:rRNA from 1 species